AGGGCGUCACACUCCCACCACACAAACAAAAAUCCCUUAUAAAAGCCAAGGCUUACCCAUAGUACUUCAGAUACGCACAUCAAAAUGAAGACCAUAGCAAUGCUUACUACUUUCGUUAUUUGUACUUUUUUUUUGUGCAAAAGUGCGGAAGCUAAUGUUAAACAGUGUUAUUACUGCAAUGGCAGGUGCGAUGAUCCUAUUAAAAAAGUAAAUUGUUCCAACGUAGAGGGAGAUACAUUGACAUACAGCUGUAUGACGCAAGCAUAUUCACAAGGAGGUGUUGAAAUAGAAAGCAAAGGUUGUAUAAUAGCUAAUGACAACGCUCAAAUAAUUCUAUGUGACGCUAUACAAGCACAAGAUGGAGGUCACUGUAAUAUCUGUGACGAAGAUUUGUGUAAUUCAGGAAAUAUAUACACAUUUACUUUUGUUUUACUAUCCGCAAUGAUAAUUCUUUGUAAAAUAUUGUAAAUUACUUCAUUAAUGAUAAUCUUAAAUAAAAUUAGCACAUAGAAAAACUA